AUGCGGAGUGACAACGCGGGGCGCCCUUCAGGACCACCGCCUCCAGACAGGAGCCACCCGCACUCUGCUUCGGUUUCUCUCCUCUGGGCGGUGCAAAGGCCCCGGGGCGUAAGCUCAGGGCGGGGCGCUGAGUCAGCGGCCGCCGGGCUCCUAGCGUCUCAGUGCCCGCUUCAUCUUUCUAUUCUGCAGCUGCGCAAACUGCGGCUCAAACGACAAAGAACUUCCCCGAGGCGGAAAAGCUGCCUCGGCUGCACCCGAAGCCCCGCACGGUGGGCAGGCCCGAGGACGGCCGAAGGCCGGGAGAUCAGCCCUGGUGAGUGCCAGGGAGCCGCGGACCACCGCCGAGGCCUAGAGAGGCCCGGCCCCACCCUAGCUCCCGCCCACGCCCGCUUCCGGGCGGGCGCACUUCCGCUUCCGGCGGCGGGCUGCGGCGCUCCGCGGCGGAGGUGGUUUCCUUUUCCUGGAGCCGCUGGUGGGUUUCCGAGCGUCCUCGUGAGCUGUCCCCGCCCCGCCCCCUCGGAGGUGGCGCCUGCGCAGGUGAGCGCUCCGCUCCUGCCCUCCGGGCACGGGCUGUUGGGAGCGGGCGGCCCAGGCCUCGGGGUCUGCGAGCUGCUUCGGCUCCGGAGGAGGAGGAGGGCCCAGCGCUCGAGCCCCAGAAGCGCCUUUUCCGCCCGACCCGGGCCCUCUGAGCCGCGCCCUUCUCGGGGGAGGAGUCGGCUCCGCUCCCAGCCUAGACGUCGGGGAUUUUUUUUUCACUCGGGAGUCUGAGACAUCCUUUUCCAGAGUUCCAGAAUGGAGACUGAAGGGUACCCAGAAACACAAGGAAAUAGAGACGUCCAUAAUGAUCAAAUAAGGUCGUCGCCAAAUGAGAUAAUGGCUGAGGAGCCGGAAGUUGUCCUAAUAGGGCCUCCCCAGAUCCAGGUUCCACGAGAGCCUUCUGGGCUUCCACCAGAGAGCCAUGAUGAGGACUCUGUCGAGGACCUGGAGCCCACGCCACGAAGGAACCCUCCCAAUGCUGCAGUCUCCAGGCAGAGGUUCAGGAAGUUCCGCUAUGAGGAUGCAGCUGGGCCCAGGGAGGUCCUCAGACAUCUCCAGGAGCUUGCUGGACAGUGGCUGAGACCCGAUAUUCACACAAAGGAGCAGAUUGUGGAAAUGCUGGUGCAGGAGCAAUUCCAGGCUGUCCUGCCGGAGGAGCUCCGAGCUCGGGCGCAGAGAUGUCAGCCUGGGGUUAGGAUCACUGGCUAAAUCUCGCUGCUCGCUUCUUUCUCAGUCUACGUGUGAGAAGUAACCAAAGGUUCUCUGAUGGAAGAUACAGCUGCCGUCCUGGGAAUCUGAACCUCGUCCUUCUUUGAGCUUGCCUUUGGUUGUAAUAAGAAUCAAUCAGAACCCCUGUCUGGACCUCUUUUUGGCUGAGGCAGCUCUAUUUCCUGGGACUGAACUCCAGAAGGAGUUUCUCUUCUCUCUUCUUAGGACAAUCAGCGUGCUGCUUGUUUUUGCUCUGCUGAAUGCCUCCUUUUUUUGCACUUUGUGACAUGCUUGAAUAUAUUAUUUUUAUGUAUCCAAAGAAGUAAUUGCUAUAACUAUCAGAAAUCUUGAUUCUUGUUGUGGUGGCAUGAAGGGGAGCUUCUGUAAUCCCACCGGUAAUUCCUUUGGGUUGUCCUUGAAAUAUUAAAGUUUGGUCCUUAAUAAAAAUGUCCUGUGGUGAUUUACCA
rnacentral:lncRNA from 1 species